rnacentral:lncRNA from 1 species
CUUGUCUCCAUAAUCAUUUAGAAAAUGCAUUUCCAGCGAGGAAGCGGGGCGAUGACGUCAGUGCUUUCUCUGUGUGUCCGCCUGCGAAGAGACACAGACACACCAGAAGCAGUGGAGCUGUUAGCGGCAGAGAAGACAGCUUUGUGAUGGUUGUGAACUUCUGAUGAGUUUACACAGCUUCUCAGGACUACAUAGCAGCAUGUCCGCCUUCUGCGGUCCUCCUUUGGACGCACCGCGGACAUUGCUUUUUCAUUUUAAUUUUAAGUUAUUUCAUGCAGCUUCAUUUUGAAAAUUAAAAAGCAUUUCUAUUAAUCCAUUUUAAUUGUCAAAUUAGACAUUUCUAAAUGAAUUUUGCUACACAUUUACCAGAGAACUUCUUGAAAAUGAAAUGUCAAAUACCAUUUUUAUUUUAAUUUUAAUUAAGUGACAGAAUAAGCUGUGUUGAGGAAGGAAAUUUUUUUUGUUUUUAAUUAUGCUUUAGAAACGCUUCCAUAUUUGGGAUGACUGUUGUUGUUAAUAUUGGACUAUAUAAAUCAAAAAGAAAAGAAAAAAAGAAAAAAGAUCUCUAUAAACUCUUUACUUGUUCAAUGUGAAUUAGCUGAUUAAGAAAAGCAGCUUUUAAUAUAAACUUUGCACCAUUAUGCAGCACAUUACCAACAUGAAGUAUUGCAUGACACCACUGUCUUUAAUUCAAAAUUGUCUGGAAUUUUGUUUAUUGCUUAAGUGGUUGAAGAGUUAGUGUAGUAAAAGAAAUGUGAGUAUUGGAACUUCAGCUUCAAUGUAAAAAUGUUAUGGUGACUGUUAACUAGGAGGAAGAGGAGCAGAGAGAAGAGGAAGAACAAAUGAAAGAGCAGAUGGAGAGAUUGAGGGAGGAGCUGAGCUGUUAGUGAACUAUAGAAGAGACACAAACUUCCACUUUCUACAAAGUUCAACACACAAAAGCCAAACAUCAGCUUCAUCCAACAUGCUGUCUGUGCAGACAUCUGUGUUCACUCUGCUGCUUCUAGUCAUUGGAACAGAUGUCAGCUGUGAAGAACUCACUGCAGUCAAGAAGGAAGAGUCCACUUUGGAAGGAACUUCUGUCACUCUGUCCUACAAAUAUAAAAAUGCUGCAAAAGGGAAUGAUUAUUUCUACUGGUAUCGACAAUUUCCAGGAAAACUACCAGAGUUCUUGAUCUCUCACACUGGAACAGGAACACCAAUUUCACCACCAGUUCCUGGAUUUUCCUUCAAAGUGAGUGACGACCAAAGACAAAUGGAUCUGCAGAUCUCCUCUGCUGCAGUGACAGACUCUGCUGUGUACUACUGUGCUGUGACGCCCACAGUUACAGGAAACAACAAAACUCUGUACAAAAACCUGCAACAACACAAUACUACACAACAUCCACUAGAGGGCGGGACACACUGUGAAAGCACUGAUUGUUGAGACAUUGAACAUAUGACAAAGACAAAAGAGAAAUGAAGCAGUGGAGAUCACACAAACCUGCUGUGGAAGAACUAAA